rnacentral:rRNA from 1 species
AUUGAACGCUGGCGGCGUGCUUUACACAUGCAAGUCGAACGGCAUCACGGGUGCUUGCACCUGGUGGCGAGUGGCGAACGGGUGAGUAAUACAUCGAGACGUACCAAGUAGAGGGGGAUAACUAAUCGAAAGAUUAGCUAAUACCGCAUAAUCUCUGAGGAGGAAAGGUGGGGACCAGCAAUGGCCUGUCGUUACUUGAGCGGUCGAUGGUUGAUUAGCUAGUUGGUGGGGUAAGAGCUUACCAAGGCGAUGAUCGAUAGCUGUUCUGAGAGGAAGAUCAGCCACACUGGGACUGAGACACGGCCCAGACUCCUACGGGAGGCAGCAGUGGGGGAAUAUUGGACAAUGGGGGCAACCCUGAUCCAGCAACGCCGCGUGAAUG